rnacentral:rRNA from 1 species
CGUGCCAGCAGCCGCGGUAAUACGGAGGAUGCAAGCGUUAUCCGGAUUUAUUGGGUUUAAAGGGUACGUAGGCGGGAGCUUAAGUCAGUGGUGAAAUCCUGCAGCUUAACUGUAGAACUGUCAUUGAUACUGGGCUUCUUGAAUGUAGUUGAGGUAGGCGGAAUGUGUAAUGUAGCGGUGGAAUGCUUAGAUAUUACACAGAACACCGAUUGCGAAGGCAGCUUACUAAACUACGAUUGACGCUGAGGUACGAAAGCGUGGGGAGCGAACAGGAUUAGAUACCCUGGUAGUCCACGCUGUAAACGAUGAUCACUCGUUGUUGGCAAUACACCGUCAGCGACUGAGCGAAAGCAUUAAGUGAUCCACCUGGGGAGUACGACCGCAAGGUUGAAACUCAAAGGAAUUGACGGGGGCCCGCACAAGCGGAGGAACAUGUGGUUUAAUUCGAUGAUACGCGAGGAACCUUACCUGGGCUUAAAUGUAGAACGACGGACCGGGAAACUGGUCUUUCUUCGGACGGUCUGCAAGGUGCUGCAUGGCUGUCGUCAGCUCGUGCCGUGAGGUGUCGGGUUAAGUCCCAUAACGAGCGCAACCCUCAUCAUUAGUUGCCAGCGGGUAAUGCCGGGGACUCUAAUGAAACUGCCGGUGUAAACCGAGAGGAAGGUGGGGAUGACGUCAAGUCAGCACGGCCCUUAUGUCCAGGGCUACACACGUGUUACAAUGGUCGGUACAAAGGGCAGCUACCUGGCGACAGGAUGCUAAUCUCGAAAACCGAUCUCAGUUCGGAUCGAAGUGUGCAACUCGACUUCGUGAAGCUGGAU